GGAUUAGAUACCCGGGUAGUCCACGCCCUAAACGAUGCGAACUGGAUGUUGGUCUCAACUCGGAGAUCAGUGUCGAAGCUAACGCGUUAAGUUCGCCGCCUGGGGAGUACGGUCGCAAGACUGAAACUCAAAGGAAUUGACGGGGGCCCGCACAAGCGGUGGAGUAUGUGGUUUAAUUCGAUGCAACGCGAAGAACCUUACCUGGCCUUGACAUGUCUGGAAUCCUUGAGAGAUCGAGGAGUGCCUUCGGGAAUCAGAACACAGGUGCUGCAUGGCUGUCGUCAGCUCGUGUCGUGAGAUGUUGGGUUAAGUCCCGCAACGAGCGCAACCCUUGUCCUUAGUUGCCAGCACGUAAUGGUGGGAACUCUAAGGAGACUGCCGGUGACAAACCGG
rnacentral:rRNA from 1 species